rnacentral:lncRNA from 1 species
GCGGUUUCAGGCGAGAAGCUCGCCUUGUUGCUCCACGACCUCUUCAGUCGGGCCGAGAGACGAACGAGACGACGCAAUGAUAGAGCUCUCACCGGCUUUGGAACUCGGAGAAGAACUGGAAACGGCGAACACCCGGCUGAUCGUCGGCCUCCCUACAACAGCAGCGGUCGGCGCGACUCCGUGAACAGCAGCAGUCGGCGGUUUCAGGCGAGAAGCUCGCCUUGGUGCUCCACGAACAGCAGCAGCCGCGACCUCAGGCGAACAGCAGCAGCCACUGACCGCUCGUAGCUAAAGCAGGCGGAGGCCCAAGGCGGACGGCUGUUGGCUGGUAGGAGGCGAGGCGGCGUGACCCGAAGCGAUGCGAGACGCCGUCGCACGGGGUGGCGCUGCCGAAGGCCAAGCGCCGCUAGCCACUGCGAGAACGGAGCAGCAGCAGCAAGCGCUCGUCCGCUGCCGGAAACGUGAUGGAAAGAGAGGGCAGAUGGGAGGCGG